UUUUUUUUUUUUUUUAAGGGCCACACCCUUGACUUAUGGAGGUUCCCAGGCCAGGGGUUGAAUUGGAGCUAUAGCUGCUGGCGUGCGCAACAGCCACAGCAACGCAAGAUCCAAGCCGCGUCUUCAACCUGCACCACAGCUCACGGCAACACUAGAUCCUUAACCCACUGAGUGAGGCCAGGGAUCGAACCCUUGUCCUCAUGGAUACUAGUCGGGCUUGUUAACUGCUGAGCCAAGACAGAAGCUCAUGCAGUGGCAUUCUUGUUUCCACCUGUCCAAAGUAUUUUCUUUGUUUCCAACCUGAACCUCUGCACUCCACUUACUAACACUCUGGCGGGUGAGAUGGUACCCGAAAAUGAAUAGGCUGGAAGGAAAAGGGGAGGGAGAGAGAGAGAGAUGAGAAGGACCUGAGAGAGAAUUUUCAUUUUCUAAGACUUCAUGGUCUUAGAAGCAUUUGGAUGAAUAAGUCCUGCUGAAGAAUUAAAACAUUUGUACCAUCUUCUAAAAGCAGAGCACUAAAGCACUAACUUCAGUGCUGGGAAGGGUUAAAGACAACCAGCUGUCCCAAGUGGAAUUAGCAGAGAAUCGAUGGACCAUAGAUGCAGUCCCUAUCUUUAGGAGGCUCAUAAUGGAAGGGGAACGAGGAAUUCAUGUAUAUGUGUGUGUGUAUAUUUUUCUUUUCUUUGUCUGAGGAAGUUGGGGUCAUGUGAACGAGCAGAGGAAAAGGAGAAGUUUUGUGUGUGGCUAGACUUUGUUAUUCCACCUUACCCUAACUUCACCUUAAUCAAGGUUUCAGCCUCUCCCAAGGCUGUCUAGUUACACAUCUGAUCGAGAGCACAGCCUACGGGAAGGUCUAGUUAAAGUAGUUGUGGGAGUUCCCGUCAUGGCGCAUCGGAAACAAAUCUGACUAGGAACCAUGAGGUUGCGGGUUCAAUCCACGACCUCGCUCAGUGGGUUAAGGAUCUGGCGUUGCUGUGACCUGUGGUGAAGGUCGCAGACGUGGCUCGGAUCUGGUGUGGCUGUGGCGUAGGCUGGCAGCUAUAGCUCUGACUGGACCCCUAGCCUGGGAACCUCCAUAUGCCGAAGGUGUGGCCCUAAAAGGACAAAAGACAAAAAAAAAAAAAAAAAAGAAAGAAAGAAAUACUUGUGGAGGAAGAGGAGAAGGCUAGCUGCUCUAUGGCUUGGAAAAACAAAGAGAUCCUCAGUGACCAAAAACUUGUGGAUAAUAGUUAUUUCUAAAAGACACAGCAAUUGAUUUUACCCCACUCUUACCUUCUACUCUCAUCCAGCCUAUCAACAGUAAUCCCCACUUGAGUUGCCGUGGAGGCAUGGGUUCAAUCCCCAGCCCAGCUCAAUGGGUUAAAGGAUCCGGCAUUGCUGCCGCUGUGGUGUAGCUCAUAGCUUUGAUGUUCACUGAUUUGGAAACUUAGUUUGAUAAGGACACCAGAGUGAGGAGAGGAGGAGACUCCUCCAGCCUCAGAGUCAAAUACUUGCCAAAGAGAGAACCAGCCACUCAGGUACACCCUCGUCUUCCCAGUCUGAAGGCUGAGAAGGCAGAGAGAGGAAAAAGCUCCCAUGGGCCCAAAGGAACCCCCAGGUUGUUGCAGAAACCAAGAUACUCUAAACCCAGACUUAGACACAAGGGCAGACGGACAUUGAACUUGGAGCAGUACAGCUGGUAACCUAGAGGUGAUGGGUGUCGCCUAAUAGGAUGGGAGUGGCCGGGGUUGGGAGUAAGAGCUCAGCUCAGCCAACCCGAGUUCUGGAGUCUUGGGAAGUUAAUGGAAGGCAAGAUAAAGAGGGAGAAGGUUGGGAUUCUCUUGUGGCGCAGUGGGUUAAGGAUCCAGCGUUGUCCCUGCGGUGGCUUGGAUUGCUACUGUGGAACAGGUUCAGUCCUUGGCCCGGGAACUUCCACGUGCCAUGGAUGUGG
rnacentral:lncRNA from 1 species